UGAAGGCUUAUGAUAAACAUACAUAAUAUAAAGUGGUUCUGUAUGUACAUACAUGUAAUUUAGGUGGCUCUCGUACCUUUAUGGGGAUGAUUUCUAUCGCAUGAGACUCGUGUAUUAAUGCAAGCAAGGAUCAGUAGAUCAUUUGGGUGCCGAUAAUAACUUGGAUACUUUCUACCGAUCUAUCUUUGUAACAGCAUCAGCCAUAUUCCAGCAUAGUUCUCCCUCAAGGAGAGAUGCCACAGUGGGUCAUUCCUAUUGAAGAGGAUUCUAUAUCUCUCAUGGUUUCAAAGGACUUAUUUGACAAGAUUCUUGGAUUGGCAUUUUGUGUUGUUCUUGAUAAAGUUGAAUCUGGAAAUGAGAUUUUAGUACAUGUCGAUGGUGAAAGGCAGAGUAAUAUAUCGGAACAUUUCCCCUAUCCAUUGCAUUCGGAACAUAUCGUUCUUCAUUAUAUCCUACCAUAUGUGUUGUGGGGAGCAGUUGAUUUUGGUCAAAUUGAUGGGAAAUAUGCAAAGUUUAGCCUUACCAAAUCGAUAAAAGUGAAAAGGUGGGGACUUCGAAUAAUAUGCAAGCAAUUAGGGGACGAUUUAAAGGUCGAGCUUCAAGAUAAUCAGCUGAUAAAUCCAGCUUUACUCUACGAAGUUGGUCAUGAAUCAAUAGACUCACCAGUGGGGAGUUCAUUUAUGCACGAAGAUAAUUCGAGUGGAGCAAAUCGACAGGAGGACUUGCAAGAUGGUCAAAUGAGUAUCGAGGAACAUAGUCAUAUAGGAUCAAAGAGAAAUCACGAAUUUAUUCUCACUCAAGGCAUGCGAACCAAGACUUUGUUGACUUCCAAUUUGACCAGGCAGAAAUGAGAAAGGUGGUGUUGGCUUGCAGCUUUUGUUGUUAGAAUGAUGGGAACUUGCUAAGGAAGCAAUUGGUAGAUAGAGAGGAGCUCGACUUACUGCUACUUCUUAACUUAAUAUCGAGAAAACGAGUUCGAAGGUUGUGGCCGGAGAGUUAGAUGAGGGGAGGGGGGCUUGGGAUGUGCAUUUUGAUGCUGGUAGGAGAAACAAUUUUGGAAGAGAAAGAUACAACUUCCAUGGAUUAUAGAGGACGAAGGCACAUUACAGAAGAGAGAGACGCACGCACCCACGAGCACUCUCCCGAUCUCCGACGAAAUGGAAGAAGAAGAAGAUGUUCGUCUUCCUGAAACGGAGUCCCUAUUGAACUUGACGGCGACGGAGACCGGCCGGCGGAGGCGACGGACUACCACCGCCGACCGAAGCCAUGGAAACUGAUGACGAUUCUCUCCUGAGGUUCGUUCUGGGCUUCGUGCAGCUUGCUAUAGAUCAGGUUAUUGACGUUACGCGCUGCAAAAUCAGCGACGAUCUCUGGAAGACAUUGCAUUUUUAAUAUAAGGCAAAGCUUGCUUUGGACAGCCUCAAAGUUCCAGUUGGGUAAGGAACUGAUUUUCAAUAACCAGCUGUGUGAUUGGUGAGAAACGGUGCCUUAUUGCAGCAGGAAGAAACAGGACUAAUGAGAAACGGAAUGCAAACAAGAUGUGCAGAAAUGGAAGCUCUUGAUGCUCUUCUUGAACAGUGGCAGAGGAUUGGAUUUUUGUUUGCAGAAGUUGCAGAGAAGUAUUCAACAUGCUCCCUUUAUGUGACCUGAACUAUGCAUAAUGUGUGCAGCAGCAUCAUCAAUCAUUGGUAUGAAGGAAGUGUAUUAUGACUGUGCAAAUGAUAAAUGUGGAGGCUGCAGCUCAAUACUGUUGUUGCAUCAAGCAGCUCCAAGGAAUGAAUUAGUAAUGGAAAUUCUGGAUCGAAGGGUUUCUAAUGUUGUGGAGGUAUAAUGGCAUCGGAAGCAAUUUCUCUUCUGCGAGAUUUUUAUGAACAAGGAAACCCUAAUGCUCCAAAGUCUCUCAAGUCAUGGGUUACUCAGGCUUCUCAUUAGAUCUGCGUGGAUUGAUUCUUCCUGUUGAAUCUUCUUAUGGCUUUGUAUGACUAGGGGAUGGAGUUUGACAUCUUGCACUGACAAUGCAUGUGCCAUUGACUGCUUUUCCAAUCACAGAAUUUCAUCAAGGGACCUGUGGAAGGAAGCGUGAUACUUGUCCAUGUCAGUUUGUGCCAGGAUGUUCAUGUGUUUACAGAGGGUUGCAGUUGUGAUUGGAAGUCCAUUUCAUGCUUUAACUUGAUUAUAAGAUUGUUAAGAUAAGUUACGGCAUCAACUGUGUAGGCAUCACUUUUCUGGUGCUAAUUUUUGUCAUCAUUGUAUUUUGUAAUCUGGCAUAUCUUUUUACGACUUUUUUGAACUUUGAGUUAUUCGAGGUGUGCUAUUGAUGUCUCUGAGCUCCAGAGUUUUAAACCAAAUCAUGUGUCAUCCCUAAUGACGAUAAAGAGGACAAUGAUUUGCAUGUGUUUCAUGUAGAUUCCCUGGCAAAGAAUUGGAAUUGGUGGAUUUAACGUUCCUGAUUAUACCAAUUAUCUCGUAGAUACUCGAAUUUAUAA